rfam:Gossypium hirsutum cultivar TM-1 unplaced genomic scaffold scaffold3973.1, whole genome shotgun sequence
GUACCGGCGUUUUUUUUAAAAACGCCACAAAAAGAAAAAAAAAAGUAUAA